rnacentral:rRNA from 1 species
UACCCUACGGGGGGCAGCAGUGGGGAAUUUUGCGCAAUGGGGGAAACCCUGACGCAGCAACGCCGCGUGCGGGACGAAGGCCCUCGGGUCGUAAACCGCUUUCAGCAGUGAAGACCUUACGACGGUACCUGCAGAAGAAGCUCCGGCUAAUUACGUGCCAGCCGCCGCGGUAAUACGUAGGGGGCGAGCGUUAUCCGGAUUCAUUGGGCGUAAAGCGCGCGUAGGCGGCCGCCUAAGUGGAGCCUCUAACCCCG